rnacentral:rRNA from 1 species
UACGGGGGGAGCAAGCGUUGUUCGGAUUUACUGGGCGUAAAGGGCGCGUAGGCGGCGUGACAAGUCACUUGUGAAAUCUCCGGGCUUAACUCGGAACGGUCAAGUGAUACUGUCGUGCUAGAGUACAGAAGGGGCAACUGGAAUUCUCGGUGUAGCGGUGAAAUGCGUAGAGAUCGGGAGGAACACCCGUGGCGAAGGCGGCCAUCUGGACCAGCACUGACGCGGAGGCACGAAAGCGUGGGGAGCAAACAGG